rnacentral:rRNA from 1 species
GACAGAGGUGCCGAGCGUUAGGCGGAAUCACUGGGCUUAAAGCGUGUGUAGGCGGGUCGUUAAGUGCCUUGUGAAAUCCCAUGGCUUAACCAUGGAACUGCUUGGCAUACUGGCGGUCUUGAGCCACCUAGGGGCAACCGGAACAAACGGUGGAGCGGUGAAAUGCGUAGAUAUCGUUUGGAACGCCAAUGGUGAAAACAGGUUGCUGGGGGUGUGCUGACGCUGAGACGACGAAAGCCAGGGGAGCAAACGGGA